AUUGAACGCUGGCGGCAGGCUUAACACAUGCAAGUCGAGCGGGGAAGGGUAGCUUGCUACCUAACCUAGCGGCGGACGGGUGAGUAAUGCUUAGGAAUCUGCCAUUUAGUGGGGGACAACAUUCCGAAAGGAAUGCUAAUACCGCAUACGUCCUACGGGAGAAAGCAGGGGAUCUUCGGACCUUGCGCUAAAUGAUGAGCCUAAGUCGGAUUAGCUAGUUGGUGGGGUAAAGGCCUACCAAGGCGACGAUCUGUAGCGGGUCUGAGAGGAUGAUCCGCCACACUGGGACUGAGACACGGCCCAGACUCCUACGGGAGGCAGCAGUGGGGAAUAUUGGACAAUGGGCGGAAGCCUGAUCCAGCCAUGCCGCGUGUGUGAAGAAGGCCUUAUGGUUGUAAAGCACUUUAAGCGAGGAGGAGGCUACUAGUAUUAAUACUUCUGGAUAGUGGACGUUACUCGCAGAAUAAGCACCGGCUAACUCUGUGCCAGCCGCCGCAGUAAAAC
rnacentral:rRNA from 1 species